AUACGGAGGAUGCAAGCGUUACUCGGAAUCACUGGGCGUAAAGCGCGCGCAGGCGGCUAUUUAAGUUGGAUGUGAAAGCCUACGGCUCAACCGUAGAACUGCAUCCAAAACUAUUUAGCUAGAGUGUGGGAGAGGAAGAUGGAAUUAGUUGUGUAGGGGUAAAAUCCGUAGAGAUAACUAGGAAUACCAAAAGCGAAGGCAAUCUUCUGGAACACUACUGACGCUGAGGCGCGAAAGCGUGGGGAGCAAACAGGAUUAGAUACCCUAGUAGUCC
rnacentral:rRNA from 1 species